GAUGAACGCUGGCGGCGUGCUUAACACAUGCAAGUCGAACGGGAAAUAUUUCAUUGAGACUUCGGUGGAUUUGAUUUAUUUCUAGUGGCGGACGGGUUAGUAACGCGUGGGUAACCUGCCUUAUACAGGGGGAUAACAGUCAGAAAUGGCUGCUAAUACCGCAUAAGCGCACAGAGCUGCAUGGCUCAGUGUGAAAAACUCCGGUGGUAUAAGAUGGACCCGCGUUGGAUUAGCUAGCUGGUGGGGUAACGGCCCACCAAGGCGACGAUCCAUAGCCGGCCUGAGAGGGUGAACGGCCACAUUGGGACUGAGACACGGCCCAGACUCCUACGGGAGGCAGCAGUGGGGAAUAUUGCACAAUGGGGGAAACCCUGAUGCAGCGACGCCGCGUGAAGGAAGAAGUAUCUCGGUAUGUAAACUUCUAUCAGCAGGGAAGAUAGUGACGGUACCUGACUAAGAAGCCCCGGCUAACUACGUG
rnacentral:rRNA from 1 species